rnacentral:rRNA from 1 species
UACGUAGGGUGCAAGCGUUGUCCGGAAUUAUUGGGCGUAAAGAGCUCGUAGGCGGUCUGUCGCGUCGGUCGUGAAAACUUGGGGCUUAACCCUGAGCUUGCGGUCGAUACGGGCAUGACUGGAGUUCGGCAGGGGAGACUGGAAUUCCUGGUGUAGCGGUGAAAUGCGCAGAUAUCAGGAGGAACACCGGUGGCGAAGGCGGGUCUCUGGGCCGAUACUGACGCUGAGGAGCGAAAGCGUGGGGGAGCGAACAGG